GACGAACGCUGGCGGCGUGCUUAACACAUGCAAGUCGAACGAAGUAGCGAACGGGUGAGUAACGCGUAAUCAACCUGCCCUUCAGAGGGGGACAACAGUUGGAAACGACUGCUAAUACCGCCUACUGACGGAGGGGAUUGCUUCUGAUUAGCUAGUUGGAGGGGCAACGGGCCACCAAGGCGAUGAUCAGUAGUCGGUCGGAGAGGAUGAACGGCCAUAAUGGGACUGAGACACGGCACAGAGUCCUACUGGAGGCAGCAGGGGGGAAUCUUCCGGAAUGGAAGAAAGUCUGACGGAGCAACGCCGCGGGAGUGAUGACGGCCGUCGGGUUGUAAAGCUCUGUUAAUCGGGACGCGGUACCGGAAUAGAAAGCCACGGCUAACUACGUGCCAGCAGCCGCGGUAAUAC
rnacentral:rRNA from 1 species